ensembl:misc_RNA Metazoa_SRP Metazoan signal recognition particle RNA
GCCGGGCAUGGUGGCGCAUGCCUGUAGUCCCAGCUACUUGGGAGGCUGAGGCAGGAGAAUUGCUUGAACCCAGGAGGUGAAGGUUGCGGUGAGCCGAGAUCAGGCCAUUGCACUCCAACCUGAGCAACAGAGCUAGACUCUGUCUCAA